AAUGCCCCUAGAGGUGUUGCUGGUGUGCCUGCUCUGUCUUAUGUGCAUCAGUAGGUGCCAGAAGGAGAGAAGCUAUGGUCUGACCUACGAAUGUCAGAAUAAUUAGUAGCUUAGUAGA
rnacentral:snoRNA from 1 species